GACGAACGCUGGCGGCGUGCCUAAUACAUGCAAGUCGAACGCACGAAGUUGAAGAGCUUGCUCUUUAACCAAGUGAGUGGCGGACGGGUGAGUAACACGUGGGUAACCUGCCCAUUAGAGGGGGAUAACAUUCGGAAACGGAUGCUAAUACCGCAUAGUUUCAGGGAUCGCAUGAUUCUUGAAGGAAAGGUGGCUUCGGCUACCACUAAUGGAUGGACCCGCGGCGUAUUAGCUAGUUGGUGAGGUAAUGGCUCACCAAGGCAAUGAUACGUAGCCGACCUGAGAGGGUGAUCGGCCACACUGGGACUGAGACACGGCCCAGACUCCUACGGGAGGCAGCAGUAGGGAAUCUUCCGCAAUGGACGAAAGUCUGACGGAGCAACGCUGCGUGAGUGAAGAAGGUUUUCGGAUCGUAAAACUCUGUUGUUAAAGAAGAACAAGGAUGAGAGUAACUGCUCAUCCCCUGACGGUAUUUAACCAGAAAGCCACGGCUAACUACGUGCCAGCAGCCGCGGUAAUACGUAGGUGGCAAGCGUUGUCCGGAUUUAUUGGGCGUAAAGCGAGCGCAGGCGGUUCUUUAAGUCUGAUGUGAAAGCCCCCGGCUCAACCGGGGAGGGUCAUUGGAAACUGGAGAACUUGAGUGCAGAAGAGGAGAGUGGAAUUCCACGUGUAGCGGUGAAAUGCGUAGAUAUGCGGAGGAACACCAGUGGCGAAGGCGACUCUCUGGUCUGUAACUGACGCUGAGGCUCGAAAGCGUGGGGAGCAAACAGG
rnacentral:rRNA from 1 species